GACGAACGCUGGCGGCGUGCCUAAUACAUGCAAGUCGAACGCAGUGGGGACGGGUGAGUAACACGUGGGUAACCUGCCAUCAGAGGGGAUAACACUUGGAAACAGGUGCUAAACCGAUACUGAAGGAAGGACCCGCGGUGCAUUAGCUAGUUGGUGAGGUAGCGGCUCACAACGGCCACGAUGCAUAGCCGACUUAGGAGGUUGAUCGGCCAUACUGUGACUGAGACACGGCCCAGACUCCUACGGGAGGCAGCAGGAGGGAAUCGUCGGCAAUGGACGAAAGUCUGACCGAGCAACGCCGCGUGAGUGAAGAAGGUGUGCGGAUCGUAAAACUCUGUUGUUAGAGAAGCGGUAUCUAACCAGAAAGCCACGGCUAACUACGUGCCAGCAGCCGCGGUAAUAC
rnacentral:rRNA from 1 species